rnacentral:rRNA from 1 species
CCUACGGGCGGCAGCAGUGGGGAAUAUUGGACAAUGGGCGAAAGCCUGAUCCAGCCAUGCCGCGUGUGUGAAGAAGGCCUUCGGGUUGUAAAGCACUUUCAGUGGGGAAGAAAGCCUUGGGGCUAAUACCCUCGAGGAAGGACAUCACCCACAGAAGAAGCACCGGCUAACUCCGUGCCAGCAGCCGCGGUAAUACGGAGGGUGCGAGCGUUAAUCGGAAUUACUGGGCGUAAAGCGCGCGUAGGCGGUCUGAUAAGCCGGUUGUGAAAGCCCCGGGCUCAACCUGGGAACGACAUCCGGAACUGUCAGGCUAGAGUGCAGGAGAGGAAGGUAGAAUUCCCGGUGUAGCGGUGAAAUGCGUAGAGAUCGGGAGGAAUACCAGUGGCGAAGGCGGCCUUCUGGACUGACACUGACGCUGAGGUGCGAAAGCGUGGGUAGCAAACAGGAUUUGAUACCCCAGUAGUC